rnacentral:lncRNA from 1 species
AAAGGUUGUUCCUCUAAGACAGGUCUCGUCCCUGACAAUGGCCUUGCUGGAACUUCCUUGCUUUUAGGGGCAGAGAAUGGGUCUUCCUGUAAUGAUUCAUGGUGUGAUAACCUAAUGUGUGAAGAAGGGCAAGCUUGGAGUGCUGUGACAGAUUCAAAUGAUGACACUCAAUGCUCAGUGAAUGAAGACACAGAUGGGGGUGGGGGUGGGGAAGUGGGGGCGGGGGCGUGUUGUAAGAAAGCCUCAAAGUGCAGCAGGCUUGGUUUCUGUCGAAGCUGCCUGAAUGGUGUGUGCAGGUGGGUUUGCUCUUUGCUCCUGUACUUCCUUUAGAAAACAAAACAAAACAAAAAUUUUCUUAUCUAUCUAUAUCUAUCUAUCUAUGUUUCAAGACAGGGUUUCUGGGUGUAGCAUUGGCUGUCCUAGAACUAGCUCUGUAGACCAGGUUGGCCUCAAACUCACCCACCUGCGUCUGCUGGGAUUAAAGGCAUACACCAUCACCCCCCAGCUAAAAACCCUGUAUCUUGCUUUUUUUUUUUUAAGUAUCUUUAGUUCCAAAUUUCCUUAGUUUUCCCAGCAUCCACCCCCCACUCCCACCCACCCCCUUGUGAGUGUUUUAAUGAUUAUGCA